UGAUGCCGGAAACUGAGGGGGUAAGCGGGGAAGGAGCGUGGAGGGGGAGGGUAAGUUGGCGGUACUUAACCUGGUCGGCGAAAAUGUGUAUGGAGGGGCUUUAUGAAGUAUCAAUAAAUGAA
rnacentral:lncRNA from 1 species